GAUUAACGCUGGCGGCGUGCAUAACACAUGCAAGUCGAACGAUGAAACUUAAAUGAUUUCUUCGGAAUGAACUUAAGUGGAUUAGUGGCGGCCGGGUGAGCAACGCGUGAGUAACCUGCCUUACUCAAGGGGAUAGCCUUUGGAAACGACGAAUAAUACCCUAUGAAACUAUCCCUUCGAAUGAAGCGCUAGUCGAGGUGUUAGCGGGGUAAGAUGGACUUGCGUCUGAUUAGCUCGGUGGUGAGAAAAAAGCCCACCAAGGCAACGAUCAGUAGCCGGAUGGAGAGAGGGGACGGCCACAUUGGGACAGGGACACGGCCCAGACUCCGACGGGAGGCAGCAGUGGGGAAUCAUGCACAAUGGGGGAAAGCCUGAUGCAGCGACGCCGCGUGAUUGAGAAGGCCGUCGGGUAGUGAAAAUCUUUUGUAUAGGGAGAAAAUGACGGUACUAUACGAAUAAGGACCGGCUAACUACGUG
rnacentral:rRNA from 1 species